rnacentral:rRNA from 1 species
UGGGGAAUUUUGGACAAUGGGCGCAAGCCUGAUCCAGCAGUGCCGCGUGCAGGAUGAAGGCCUUCGGGUUGUAAACUGCUUUUGUACGGAGCGAAAAGGUCUGCCCUAAUACGGUGGGCUCAUGACGGUACCGUAAGAAUAAGCACCGGCUAACUACGUGUCAGCAGCCGCGGUAAUACGUAGGGUGCAAGCGUUAAUCGGAAUUACUGGGCGUAAAGCGUGCGCAGGCGGUUAUGCAAGACAGAGGUGAAAUCCCCGGGCUCAACCUGGGACCUGCAUUUGUGACUGUAUAGCUAGAGUACGGUAGAGGGGGAUGGAAUUCCGCGUGUAGCAGUGAAAUGCGUAGAUAUGCGGAGGAACACCGAUGGCGAAGGCAAUCCCCUGGACCUGUACUGACGCUCAUGCACGAAAGCGUGGGGAGCAAACA